GCGCCGAAAGGUUCCAGCUGGAUCCCUAAUCAGCGGGACCCCGAAUCUGGGCCUCUUCCUUCGCCUGCCCGGUUCCGCAUUGGCCGCCCUGCCUGGGGUGACACGUUGAUGGCAGAGCUGGCCCUGAGGUUGUGUCCUAAAGCUGUCCUGUCUGGUGCAGCAGAGCAAGGAAAGCAACUUGCAGGGUCAGAGACCAGGCCCAGUGGACAGGGCAUGUGGACAGAGGCACUGGCUGUGGUGGGGGGACAGAGCCCCAGGGGCAACACUGCGAUAGCAAUAGCACAACCAGCCCCCGGAUCCCGGCUUCUAGACGUGAUUCUCCACCGAACGUUGGUUGCAGUGCUGCAGGAGGGAAAGGACCGAUGAAUCCGGCUCAAUGUGUGCUGCCAGUAAAGGGUUCAAGACCGAAAUGGCAAGGCCAGGGAACCUCAUCAUGUGGCUUCUUUCACUGCUGGUAUUUCCAUCAAGUCCAGUUCUCCCAGGUCAGACUGUGAAGAUGCGCAUCAGGUAUCGCGAUGCCAGAGGGUAAAACAUUGUUUGGAGAUCGUCAUCAGGUGGAACAGCCAUCAGUGCUCUGAAAGCAGGAGAUGGAGCUGCAGUGCAGUAGAGAGGAGCUGUGGGGAAGCAGAGAGGUCCAGGUGGAAGGGCAGCGAAGUCCGCAGAAUCCGAUGCUGUGUACCCAGGAGGUGACUGUGCAGUUCGUCUGAAGUGAAAAUGAAUUCUGCAUUCUGGCCGUGUGUUUCUCGGUGGUCCCCAGAGCUGUAUUGCCGCAAAAAUGUAUGCUGUCUACACAUAGAAUGGCUUGAGAAUCUGAACGGGUGAUCUCAUCUGAGAGUCUGGGAGCUGCCCAGACCCUGCCAGGUCUGGCGCGCAGCCCCAGGGAGAAGACCCCUCAUUGAGCAAGACUUCCAUCCCGGUUCACGAGGUGGGACGGCAGAGUACAGAGAAGUUGGGGACCGUGCCCAGCUGGCAGAGGUCCGAAAGUGAGAGAGAGCCUCCCUCCAGCAGCCACACCAGGGAAGGGCAGGCCUGUGUCGUGAAAGGACAAGGAGCCUGGCAUCGCCUAGGGAGGCGAGGACCGCUUUGAGGACGCCUGGAGCAGACCCUGCUCACCACAGUGACAACCCGCAUGAGCUCCUCCUCUCUAGUCUGCUGGCUCCUUGAGCAGAGUGUCCUCCUAGGUGUCCCGUGUGAGAAUGGGAUGGACCCUCCUUGAUGUGGAGCUGCUCUUCACUUCCGCACUCACCUCCCUUCCCUGAGAUGUCCGACCUCUGCCAGCCUCUGCUUCUGAAGGUCCUUCCCCCGGGACUGGGACAGACACUCUUUUCUGUGCCGUGUCUUUCGUGUGGACUCCUGGUCCCAUAGUCUGCCCAGGUCAAUGGGGCCUACUGUAGGAAGUUGCCGUGCUGAAAGAAGGGACAAUAUGGUGUCACAAGACCCUUCCUGCUUUCCAGAAGGGAGGAAGAACAGAGGGCUAGACAAUGGAGUGGGAAACAGAGCCAGAGCUGCCAUAGCAGUUGCCCAGGAUGAGCCUAGGAAAGGGAUGGUGCCAUCAGGCGAUAGGGAUUUGUUGUUGGUGGCCUCCAGUAGGCCAGUGCAAGGGCAUGCUGGGCACAAAGCCCUACUGAAGGGGACUGAGGAGCAAAUGCUAUGCAGAGAGGUUGGAGAAAUUUCGAACUGAAACCCAUGCAUUCAUGUGCCAGUAGCUGCAGACUCCCAUGUGGGAUGGGGGUCCAAUCCGCAGAGAUACCUGCCAUUGCUACCAAGAUACCAAGGAGGGAGGGACCCAGUUUUCUGUAGGGACCCCAAAGAAUGGAGCAGUUCAACCACAGUAAGGCACCGCCCGAUAGCUCCCCUGCCCAGACAGUGGACGCAGUACCCAGA